rnacentral:tRNA from 1 species
GAGGAUGUAGCUCAGAGGUAGAGCAUGUGCUUAGCAUGCAUGAGGUCCUGGGUUCAAUCCCCAGCACCUCU